CAACUACUCCCUCUGUCCCAAAUUUCUUGUCUUAGAUUUGUCUAGAUACGGAUGUAUCUAAUACUAAAAUGUGACUUGAUACAUCCGUAUCUAGACAAAUCUAAGACAAGAAUUUUGGGACGGAGGAAGUACUUU
rfam:Triticum aestivum genome assembly, contig: Triticum_aestivum_CS42_TGACv1_scaffold_348666_4DL